rnacentral:rRNA from 1 species
GCCCAGUACAGAGGGGGCCGAAGCCGCGAGGCGGAGGAAAUCCUGAAAACUGGGCCCAGUUCGGACUGUAGGCUGCAACCCGCCUACACGAAGCCGGAAUCGCUAGUAAUGGCGCAUCAGCUACGGCGCCGUGAAUACGUUCCCGGGUCUUGUACACACCGCCCGUCACAUCAUGGAAGCCGGUCGCACCCGAAGUAUCUGAAGCCAACCGCAAGGAGGCAGGGUCCUAAGGUGAGACUGGUAACUGGGAUGAAGUCGUAACAAGGUAGCCGUAGGGGAACCUGCGGCUGGAUCACCUCCUUUCUAUGGA